rnacentral:rRNA from 1 species
AGAGUUUGAUCCUGGCUCAGGACGAACGCUGGCGGCGUGCCUAACACAUGCAAGUCGAGCGAGGGGAGUUCUUCGGAACAAACCUAGCGGCGGACGGGUGAGUAACACGUGGGUAACCUGCCUCAAAGAGGGGGAUAGCCUUCCGAAAGGAAGAUUAAUACCGCAUAAUCCAUUGUUUCCGCAUGGAGAUGAUGGUAAAGAUUUAUCGCUUUGAGAUGGACCCGCGGCGCAUUAGCUAGUUGGUGAGGUAAUGGCUCACCAAGGCGACGAUGCGUAGCCGACCUGAGAGGGUGAUCGGCCACAUUGGAACUGAGACACGGUCCAGACUCCUACGGGAGGCAGCAGUGGGGAAUAUUGCACAAUGGGCGCAAGCCUGAUGCAGCAACGCCGCGUGAGUGAUGAAGGUCUUCGGAUUGUAAAGCUCUGUCUUUUGGGACGAUAAUGACGGUACCAAAGGAGGAAGCCACGGCUAACUACGUGCCAGCAGCCGCGGUAAUACGUAGGUGGCAAGCGUUGUCCGGAUUUACUGGGCGUAAAGGGUGCGUAGGUGGAUAUUUAAGUCAGAUGUGAAACCCCUGGGCUCAACUCAGGGACUGCAUUUGAAACUGGAUAUCUGGAGUGCAGGAGAGGUAAGUGGAAUUCCUAGUGUAGCGGUGAAAUGCGUAGAGAUUAGGAAGAACACCAGUGGCGAAGGCGACUUACUGGACUGUAACUGACACUGAGGCACGAAAGCGUGGGUAGCAAACAGGAUUAGAUACCCUGGUAGUCCACGCCGUAAACGAUGAGUACUAGGUGUAGGGGGUAUCGACUCCCUCUGUGCCGCAGUUAACACAAUAAGUACUCCGCCUGGGAAGUACGAUCGCAAGAUUAAAACUCAAAGGAAUUGACGGGGGCCCGCACAAGCAGCGGAGCAUGUGGUUUAAUUCGAAGCAACGCGAAGAACCUUACCAAGGCUUGACAUCCACUUAAACGCAUGGAAACAUGCGGUCUCUUCGGAGGAAGUGAGACAGGUGGUGCAUGGUUGUCGUCAGCUCGUGUCGUGAGAUGUUGGGUUAAGUCCCGCAACGAGCGCAACCCUUAUUGUUAGUUGCUACCAUUUAGUUGAGCACUCUAGCGAGACUGCCCGGGUUAACCGGGAGGAAGGUGGGGAUGACGUCAAAUCAUCAUGCCCCUUAUGUCUAGGGCUACACACGUGCUACAAUGGUCGGUACAGAGAGAUGCUAAACCGCGAGGUGGAGCCAAACUUUAAAACCGAUCUCAGUUCGGAUUGUAGGCUGAAACUCGCCUACAUGAAGCUGGAGUUGCUAGUAAUCGCGAAUCAGAAUGUCGCGGUGAAUACGUUCCCGGGCCUUGUACACACCGCCCGUCACACCAUGAGAGCUGGCAACACCCGAAGUCCGUAGUCUAACCGUAAGGAGGACGCGGCCGAAGGUGGGGUUAGUGAUUGGGGUGAAGUCGUAACAAGGUAGCCGUAGGAGAACCUGCGGCUG